UAGAAGUAUUUUAGGCUCGGCUUUAACAACAAUAAACUAAAAGUUUGACCUCAAAUCAGGUAGGACUACCCGCUGAACUUAAGCAUAUCAAUAAGCGGAGGAAAAGAAACCAACAGGGAUUGCCUCAGUAACGGCGAGUGAAGCGGCAAAAGCUCAAAUUUGAAAUCUAGCACCUUCGGUGUUCGAGUUGUAAUUUGAAGAUGGUAACCUUGGGUUUGGCUCUGUCUAUGUUCCUUGGAACAGGACGUCAUAGAGGGUGAGAAUCCCGUCUGAUGAGAUGCCCAUUCCUAUGUAAGGUGCUAUCGAAGAGUCGAGUUGUUUGGGAAUGCAGCUCUAAGUGGGUGGUAAAUUCCAUCUAAAGCUAAAUAUUGGCGAGAGACCGAUAGCGAACAAGUACAGUGAUGGAAAGAUGAAAAGAACUUUGAAAAGAGAGUGAAAAAGUACGUGAAAUUGUUGAAAGGGAAGGGCAUUAGAUCAGACUUGGUGUUUUACGAUUAUCUUCUCUUCUUGAGUUGUGCACUCGUAUUUCACUGGGCCAGCAUCGAUUCGGAUGGCAAGAUAAUGGCAGUUGAAUGUGGCUUCACUUCGGUGGAGUGUUAUAGCUUCUGCUGAUAUUGCCUGUCUGGAUCGAGGGCUG
rnacentral:rRNA from 1 species